rnacentral:lncRNA from 1 species
GCACACAGAGGAUCACCUGACUGGUAGAACCCAUAACUCUUUCACCUGAGAAUCUUUGGACAUGAUUCCAAUUCGACGUGAGACCCUGAUGAGUUAGGUUUCCAUUGCAGUUGGUUUCGUUGCUUAAUUCCUUGUGGUUGUUGAGAUAUGAUCCUCGGACUGAUCCUAUGUCAAGUCUGGCGGCUAGACAGCUUCCAAGGUUUUC